rnacentral:ncRNA from 1 species
AAAAAUGGGAAAGUCACGUGAUGAACUUAUAAUUGGGUAGACUGGCUUGCGGCAGCCAAGCAUAGCGAGCGACGAUGCUUUUUGAUCCUUUGAUGUCGGCUCUUCCUAUCUUACUGAAGUAGAAUUCAGUAAGCGUUGGAUUAUUCACCCACUAAUAGGGAACGUGAGCUGGGUUUAGACCGUAGUGAGACAGGUUAGUUUUACCCUACUGAUGAAAUGUUGUUGCAAUAGUAAUGAACUUAGUAGGAUAAUUGGUAUUUGGGCCUGCCUGAGCAGGCAAUGGCCCGAAGCUAUCAUCCGUUGGGUUUUGACUGAACGCCUCUAAGGCGAAACCCGUGCUAGAACGCGACGAUUACCGCCUUGGCCAUUUUUAGUUGAAUACGAAUAGACCUACGGCCCAGAAUCACACGAACGUGGGGUUAUGUUGGAGAGCGGAAAAGUUUGCGACAUUCCCACCAAUGUUAAUUUCAAAUAUUGUCUAGGAUAAAUCCAUUGCAGACGACUUUAAUUGAAUGGAGUAUUAUAAGCAGUAGAGUAGCCUUGUUGCUAUGAUCUGUUGAGAUUAAGACUAUUGUCCUAUAGAUUU